AUGCACCGCUGGCGGCAGGUCUAACACAUGCAAGUAGCGCGAGCGGCGGACGGGUGAGUAAUGUAUGGGGACUGCCCGAUCAAGGGGGGUAACAACUGGAAACGGUGGCUAAUACCGCAUACUGUCCGAUAACCCAUAUGGGAUUAGCUAGUAGGUAAGGUAAUGGAUUACCUAGGCGACGCUCCCUAGAUGGUCUGAGAGGAUGAUCAGCCACACUGGGACUGAGACACUGCCCAGACUCCUACGGAGGCAGCAGUGGGGAAUAUUGCACAAUGGGCGCAAGCCUGAUGCAGCCAUGCCGCGUGUAUGAAGAAGGCCCUAGGGUUGUAAAGUACUUUCAGUCGGGAGGCGUUACCGACAGAAGAAGCACCGGCUAACUCCGUGCCAGCAGCCGCGGUAAUAC
rnacentral:rRNA from 1 species